GUGGUUUGGAAAAAAUCAAUUGGAUCCUAGCUGUGGAAAAGUUGUGGUAUCACAAUUGCAUAUGGCUUGGCCGAUUCUCUUAGCAAGGUUUGAUGGAAGACUUGUUGAUGGUCGCAAAAUAACUGCUCAGUUUGCAAAAUUUUAGUGAAUCUAAACAAAAAUAUAGAUUAAAGAGAUAAUGAACUUGAUAUGUGGCUCCAAUGGCCUUUCUUAACUUGGAUUUUAUUUUUUUGGCUCCAAUGGCCUUGAUUUCUAGUUUCCAUUGUAAUUCGCUGUAAAUAGAAAGAAUGAACUUGAUAAGUGGCUCACAGCCUCACUUCUACUAAAGAUCUAUAAU
rnacentral:lncRNA from 1 species